rfam:Cajanus cajan Scaffold126169_1, whole genome shotgun sequence.
GAAAGCCGUGUGCAAUGAAAAAUGCAAGCACGGCUUGGAGAUUCUUUUUAUUUGUUUUGUUGUUUAAUUUGAUUAACAAAUCAAUUUUCUACUCCAU